UGCGGGGUAGUUUCUGUUGGUAGAAAUGCGUGGCCUUGAACCACGCGUCCGCAGGUUCGAUUCCUGCCCCCGUAG
rnacentral:tRNA from 1 species